rnacentral:rRNA from 1 species
GGACCCGCACAAGCAGUGGAGCAUGUGGUUUAAUUCGAUGCAACGCGAAGAACCUUACCCAGGCUUGACAUGCAGUAGACAGUACUAGAAAUAGUAUCUUCCUUCGGGACUGCUGCACAGGUGCUGCA